rnacentral:lncRNA from 1 species
UUUUUUGAGACGGAGUUUCACUCUUGUUGCCCAGGCUGGAGUGCAGUAGCACAAUCUCGGCUCACUGCAACCUCCGCCUCCUGGGUUCAAGCAAUUCUCCUGCCUCAGCCUCCCUAUAUGGUGAAACCCCAUCUCUACUAAAAAUACAAAAUAUUAGCUGGGUGUGUUGGCAUGUGCCUGUAAUCCCAACUACUGGAUAGGCUGAGGCAGGAGAAUUGCUUGAACCCGGGAGGCGGAGGAUUCUGUGAGCCAAGGUCAUGUCACUACACUCCAGCCUGGGCAACAAGAGCAAAACUCCGUCUCAAAAAAAAAAAAAAAAAAUUAGCUGGGCAUGAUGGCGUGUACCUGUAGUCCCAGCUACUCAGGAGGCUGAGGCCAGAGGAUCCCACAAGACUGGGAGGUUGAUGCUGCAGUGAGCUAUGAUUGCGUCACUGCACUCCAGCCUGGGUGACAGAGCAAGGUCCUGUCUCAAG